CUACGGGAGGCAGCAGUGGGGAAUAUUGCACAAUGGGCGAAAGCCUGAUGCAGCGACGCCGCGUGCGGGAUGACGGCCUUCGGGUUGUAAACCGCUUUCAGCAGGGAAGAAGCGCAAGUGACGGUACCUGCAGAAGAAGCACCGGCUAACUACGUGCCAGCAGCCGCGGUAAUACGUAGGGUGCAAGCGUUAUCCGGAAUUAUUGGGCGUAAAGAGCUCGUAGGCGGUCUGUCGCGUCUGCUGUGAAAACUGGAGGCUCAACCUCCAGCCUGCAGUGGGUACGGGCAGACUAGAGUGCGGUAGGGGAGAUUGGAAUUCCUGGUGUAGCGGUGGAAUGCGCAGAUAUCAGGAGGAACACCGAUGGCGAAGGCAGAUCUCUGGGCCGUAACUGACGCUGAGGAGCGAAAGCGUGGGGAGCGAACAGGAUUAGAUACCCUUGUAGUCC
rnacentral:rRNA from 1 species